ACACCAUAAUGGCACGUUGAAGGGACUAAAUUCCUUUUUUUUCAGUUUUAUGUAAAUUUACUCAGUAGGUCUUAAUAAAUUAGGCUAUUUCGUGCAAAUGGAAAUCACAAUUACUCUUUUGCAGGAGUAGAAAUACACUGAAGAAUAAUUGAAGUGAGGUCAAAUUACAGUAGAACUACAGAUAUCCUUCAAAUCUAGACUGUGAUGGUGUCAGAAGUGUAAUUACAUCAUUUGGAACCUUGGUGUAAGAAUAGUUUAUAUAUUGUCUUGGGAG